GGCGGACGGGUGAGUAACGCGUGGGCAAUCUGCCCUCUAGCCUGGGAUAACAGUUCGAAAGGACUGCUAACACCGGAUAUGAUGGUAACACGGCAUCGUGAAGCCAUGAAAGUUUACACUAGAGGAUGAGCCCGCGUCCCAUUAGCUAGUUGGUGAGGUAACGGCCCACCAAGGCGACGAUGGGUAGCCGACCUGAGAGGGUGAACGGCCACACUGGGACUGAGACACGGCCCAGACUCCUACGGGAGGCAGCAGUAGGGAAUUUUCCGCAAUGGGCGAAAGCCUAACGGAGCAACGCCGCGUGAGGGAUGAAGGUCUUCGGAUCGUAAACCUUUGUCUAGAGGGACGAUAAUGACGGUACCUCUGGAGGAAGCCACGGCUAACUACGUGCCAGCAGCCGCGGUAAUACGUAGGUGGCGAGCGUUGUCCGGAAUUACUGGGCGUAAAGGGCGUGUAGGCGGCCUUUUAAGUCAGACGUGAAAACCCUGGGCUUAACCCAGGACCUGCGUUUGAUACUGAAGGGCUUGAGGACCGGAGAGGACAGUG
rnacentral:rRNA from 1 species